rnacentral:rRNA from 1 species
CCCUACGGGGCGCAGCAGGCGCGAAAACUUUACAAUGCAGGAAACUGUGAUAAGGGAACCCCGAGUGCCCGUACACGCGGGCUGUUCAGAUGUUUAAAACACAUCUGGAGAAAGGGCCGGGCAAGACCGGUGCCAGCCGCCGCGGUAAUACCGGCGGCUCGAGUGGUGACCACUAUUAUUGGGCUUAAAGCGUCCGUAGCUGGGUUGCUCAGUCCCUUGGGAAAUCUGACGGCUUAACCGUCAGGCGUCUAAGAGAUACUGGCAACCUAGGGACCGGGAGAGGU